AAGAAAUAUAUUUUAAAGCUUCUAACUUUUAAUAGAGCAUUUAAUUGUUCAUAUUUCUA
rnacentral:tRNA from 1 species